AGAAAGACGGCAAGAAAAAAAAAGAAAAUUAAAAGAAACGGGAACGUAGAUCAUCCAUUC
rnacentral:ribozyme from 11 species